UUCCUUGGAAAAGGACAGCUGAGAGGGUGAAACUCCCGUCCGCCUGGUAGAAUGAGUCUUUGUCAACGAGUCGAGUUGUUUGGGAUUGCAGCUCUAAUUUGGUGGUAAAUUCCAUCUAAAGCUAAAUAUUGGUGGGAGACCGAUAGCGUACAAGUACCGUGAGGGAAAGAUGCAAAGAACUUUGAAAAGAGAGUUAAAGAGUACCUGAAAUUGCUGAAACGGAAGCGAAGGAAACCAGUGUUUGCUGGUUCAUAUUUCCUUGGCCACUUGUGGUUUGGGCG
rnacentral:rRNA from 1 species